CGCGUAUGAUGAACCUUUACUUUUGCUGCUGAAAUCCUGAAUUCUCACUGUGGAUAACAACCUUGGAGAACUGAGCGCUCG